UUAAAUAUGCUAACACACGCAGAAGUGGGUCCUCUGCCUGGCCCCCCAGGGCCCUGCAAAUGAUGAUAUGUGCUUUGUUUUAGGAAACCUGCUGAAAGAGCGGACCUUUGCCGGCCGACUCCAUCUUGUUCUGUGUCCUCCACCUUGAGUGAUUAGGUGCCCGACAUGGCCCCCUUUCUGGGAAAAUCACAGAAACCUCAGACCACGCCUCCUCCCCUUGAGUAACCUCCCGCUCACCCGUUCAAACUUCCCAAUCAAAACAAAACCAGCGACCUGCCUAACAGGACUCCGACCCUUCCCCAGCCAAUCGGCUGAGGCCACGACCCUUCCCCAGCCAAUCGGCUAAGGCCACAACCAUUACCUCACCAACUGCCCCUAGACCCCUGUAAAACCUUUGUGCUUUUGAAACUCGCUGGCUCUCUCUGGCAUCUCACCACUGCAUCGGUGCAGGUAGGGGAUUGAGCUCGAGCUAGCUCGAAUAAAGGCUCUUUGCUUUUGCAUCGGACUCGGCUCCCUGGUGGUCUUUAGGGAUCGCGAAUUCUGGGCAUAACGCUGCCUUGGUUUGGAAGUGUUUUUAAAUGAUUAAGGAGCAGAGAUGUGCAGGGUAAGAAAAGAAGCGACUAAAGUUCUCUAUUUCAUUGGGAAUCCGGCCCGACUUAAAAGUCCUGUUGCGCUGCUAAUCAAAGUAUGAAAUACAGAGAGAGCUUGAAAACAGCAUUAAUCAUUAAUCUGGGGAAGUGCUUACGGUUAUGAAUUCUUCAAGAGUUUCGAAAAACUUGCAGCACUUUUCCAGAUAAUACUCGGGAGGCUGUGUGUUUUUAUUUUUCUUUUCCUCAAGUCCCUUGUGAAGAGAUAACCAAAAAUAGUGUCAGGGUCAAGCUGGUGGGGGGCGGUGGGGGGCGUAGAAUGAGCUAUCCCUUCACAAACUGCUCCGGAAAACAACAUACAAUUAACUGUUUUGGCUCCAUGUCUGAAGUAGGAAUCAGUCGCUAACGUUUUUCAGACUAACGUUCCCAUGAAGCCACAAAGCUGCCCUCAGAUGUGACGGGAUGGGGCACAAACCAGUCUCUGCCAGGUUACAAGCACCCUGCACUUCUUACUUGCCCAGGGUAGCAAAUGCCUUUGAACCACACUCCUUCCGCCUGGAAAGAGCAGUGGAGAUGUGACAACCAUCUGAUGAUUUCGAUCUGGAUAAACAGCUCCGAAGGGACAGGGCUGAAAACAGCGGUUCUCAAAAUGUGGUCCCUGGACCGAAGGCACCAUCACCAUCACCUGAGAACUUGCUAGAAAUGCAAAUCCUGGCUCCAGGCCAGAGCUACUGAACCUGACACUCUGGGGCCUCCAGAGCGGUGAGCGAUACAUGCCUUUUGUUUGAACCCCUCACACCCCAGCCUUUUUAUGAUAGCAUCCCAAAUGGACUAAGACAAGGACAUUAAUGGGAGAACUGGUCCACACAAAGACCUAACAAGGUCAGUUCCUUCAUUUUAACCAAUGCACCCCAGUGAGCCAAGCCCCCUCCCGGGAAGAGCACAGCCAAAGCCUUCCCACACAACGCGUGGUGACUUUUGAGUAGCUUGGACCAAGAUUUAUUGUCAACAGCCCAGUCGGUAACAGCUGUUUGCAUUCCUCAGCCCCUCCAUUGCCUCCUGAAUGUCAAGUCUCUUAGCUGAAAAAGCAUCCUUCAUUUGGCUAUGCCUGCUCGAAAGAAUUACUUUUGCAUGGUAUGAUCUGCUCAGCUAUACCCAUCUUCCACAUCCAGUCCUCCCAAGCCAGACACGAAUACAAAAGAAACGGAAGAUUAAUUUUAGAUAGUACGUGGCUCAAGCCAAUUAACUCAGCGCACACUGGAUGGUCCCUAAUCGCUCUUCUAGCGAGUGGAGGCUCUGCAUUUCCCUUCUUACUGCCUUCUGGCCUCUCUUUGUAAAUACAUACUAGUCAGAAUUGAA